UACAGAGGGUGCUAGCGUUGUUCGGAAUCAUUGGGCGUAAAGGGCGUAUAGGCGGUUUGUUAAGUCAUGUGUGAAAUCCCUCGGCUCAACCGAGGAAAGACGCAUGAAACUGGCAAGCUAGAGUACCGAAGAGGGGGGUGGAAUUCCCGGUGUAGCGGUGAAAUGACGUAGAUAUCGGGAGGAACACCAGUGGCGAAGGCGACUUCCUGGCCUGUUCUUGACGCUGAGGCGCGAAAGCUAGGGUACGCAAACGGGG
rnacentral:rRNA from 1 species